UCCAUUUUUGAUGCACUCCGCCCCGCUUCGAAUAUAUUGACUACUGACUUGUAAAGCCCUAAACUCACUUUCCUUGAACCCCACGAUUUUUUCUCUUCAAUUUUGACAAAUAUAUUCAAGAUUUGCUAUGAGAUCUACCCAACGAUUGCUAGAUAUUCUCCCUCUGAUGUCGUGAACCAGAAUGUCUGAUGAGCCAGACUUUCUAACUAAAAGCAUUCAGCACCUAACUAGAGGAAUGCAUGAGGCAGUAUCACGUGCACAGCAGGCAAGAGAGUUUAAGCCUUAGUGGGAGCGUUAUCAAAGAGAUCAACAAUUUCUGCAAAUUAAAAUUUUGAACAGUCUAAUCUAAAGCACGUAGCUCGAGAACGGGAAUGCCUGUGGAACCAGACUUGCCAACUAAAUGCAUUCAGGGCAUGGAAAGGAAGUGGCAGACGACGCUCCUCCACAGGGUUCGAUGGUUGUAUGAUCUGUUUGUUCAUUGAGAGAUCAAUUACCAGCUGCCAAUUCAAACAAAAAGAAUAUUGAAUCGAGUUAGAGAUGGCAGACACUGCUCUCGAUUUUCUGUUGGAGAACAUGGUACAGCUGAUAAACUGCAACAACGAACUGAUUCUCAAGGUUUAUGAGGACAAGCUGAUCAGAAAAGACCAAAUUGAAUGGCUUUAUUCGGAGCUUCAAUGCGUGCGAGCGUUUCUCUAUGAUACGGAGGAAAUACGCAGUGAAAUUCAGAAAGUGAAUGAUCUCGUGACAAGAAUUAGAGAUGUGACUUGUGAGGUUGAAGAUAUCAUUGACUCGAUCAUAGCCAAUGCAGUCAUGCAAAACGAAAGGAGCUGCAUGUCAGAGAAACAUGAAGAUGUGACAUGUUUAUCAAUAGAUCAGUGGUCCAACGAUACAAAACCUCUAGCUUCAGUGGAGGUACGGGUGCGUGAGUACCAACUCAGCAAAAAUAAAGAUGUGACAUGGUUGAGAAAAUUUGUCCAUGCUUUUUCCAGAAAGAAGAGGAACUUCAUGGAAGGUAUUAACUCCUUUAUGGGUCAAAUAAGUUGUCUUGCCUGUGUUUCUGCCAAACAGAUGAAGAAUACCACAGGAGAGCUUGAUUCUACAAAGAUGAAGACUGUCGAUGCAGAAGAGACAGAUGGAAGUGAUAUUGUCUCUCCGAAAAAGAUGAUGAAUGUCACAGGAGAGCAUGAUUCUGAAAAGAUGAAGACUGUCGACGCAGAAGAGACAGAUGGAAGUGAUAUUGUCUCUCCGAAAAAGAUGAUGAAUGUCACAGCAGAGCAUGAUUCUGAAACGAUGAAGACUGCCGAUGCAGAAGAGACAAAUGGAAGUGAUAUUGUCUCUCCGAAAAAGAUGAUGAAUGUCACAGGAGAGCACGAUUCUGAAAAGAUGAAGAGUGUCUUAGAAGAGGCUGAUGAUAGUGAAAAGAUAACGGAUCUCAUGGAAGAGAUUAAAUUGAAGGCAGCUGAGAAAACUCAACACGACUUAGAGAGCGUUGUAGAAGAGAUCAAGUCUAUCAAGAUAGAAGUGUUGCAGAUUUAUGAUAAGAAGAUGUAUGGCAUCGAUGUCCCACAAAUCAGAAAGUCUUCUCAUGGAGCUUCAUCAUCGAGAGCCAGCAACCCUAUUGUAAAGGGUGAAAUCAUUGUGGGUUUUGGUGAUGAUGUGACAAUGAUAAUAGAAUUGCUUACUGAAGAACAUGAAAAACAGCUAAAAAUUAUCCCUAUCGUUGGGAUGCCUGGGCUCGGGAAGACAACUUUGGCCAAAAAAGUGUACAAUGAUCCUUUCAUCGAAUAUCACUUCUAUAUUCGUGCUUGGACCUAUGUGUCUCAAGUGUACCAGAAGAGAGACUUGUUGCUUAGCAUUUUAAGUUCUGCACGUAUUGAGCUUACAGGCAAUAUUAACCUAAUGAACGAUGAAAAGUUGGGUGAAGAGCUGUACAAACGCCUAAAAGGUAAUAAAUAUCUCAUUGUUAUUGAUGAUAUAUGGAACAUUGGAGCUUGGGAUAAUUUGAAGAUAUAUUUCCCAAAUGAUAACAACGGAAGUAGAAUUAUGUUCACCAGUCGGAUUGUAGAUGUUGCUGUGUCUUUGAAUGCCAAACCUCACUAUUUAAGGUUUUUGACCGAAGAUGAAAGUUGGGAACUACUGGAACAGAAGGUAUUUCAGAAAGAAAGCUGCCCUGCAGAGUUAUUGGAAAUGGGGAAGAUAAUUGCCACAAAAUGCCAAGGACUACCACUUGCAAUUGUUGUAGUAUCUGGACUUCUUGCAAAGAAAGAGAAGACACAAUACUGGUGGAGGCAAGUUGCUGAAGGUUUAAGUUCAUAUAUUGCAACUGACCCAAAGGAGUACAUGAACACGCUGGAAUUGAGUUACAACCACUUGCCUCAUCACCUGAAACCAUGCUUCCUUUAUUUUGGCGCAUUUCCAGAAGACUAUGAAAUACCUGUGUGGCAAUUGAUGUGGUUAUGGGUCGCCGAGGGAUUCAUACAGCAACAUGAUGAGAAAAGUUUGGAGGAAGUGGCAGAGGAUUACUUGAUGGAUCUAAUUGACAGAAGUCUAGUAAUUGCUUCCAAGAGAAAGUCCAAUGGUAAAAUCAAAGUGUGUCGUGUUCAUGAUCUCUUGCGUGAUUUAUGCCUGAGAAAAGCUCAAGAACUGAUUUUCCUUCAACAGGUUCUCCAGUAUGAACAGACAUCUUCAUCUUCUUCAAAUCCCUUUGCAUAUAAGCAACGUCGCAUGUGCAUCCAGGAUAACAUUGUUGAUUAUACUUCUUUAAAGGGUUUCGAGCAUCACAUCCGAUCUUUCUUAUCCUUUAGCCAUUCGGUUUAUAACUUGCCUGUGAAGCACGUCUCAUUUGUUUGUCAAGCCUUCAAACUUCUUAGGGUGAUAAAUUUAUUGUCCAUCAUAUACAUCAGUUUUCCGAAAGAAAUAGAGAAGCUGGUUCACUUGAGGUAUUUAGCACUUCAUGUUGACCAUGAGCAUUUUCAACUAUCAAUGUCGAACCUCUGGAACCUGGAAACCAUUAUGAUUGCUGGACCAAGAGGUUCCUUGGUUUUAUGUGAUGUUACUAGAAUGGUGAAGUUGAGACAUGUGUAUACCAGGCGAUUUAUCGAAAUUCCUGAUGUACCUGGUGAUGGAUCUUCCUUUGUAUUGGAUAACCUACAGACCAUAGGCAAAUUAGAUCUUUCGGGAGGCAUGUGUGGCUUGGAAUUGUUUCCCAAUCUUAAAAAACUAAAAUGCCAAGAUUAUGGUUUUCCAACAUUGAACUUUCUAAUUCACCUUGAAACCCUGAAUUUAUGCCAUUUGGACUUACAUUUUCCAACCACAAGUCAAUUACAUAGGCGCAAUCCACAUAUGUAUGCGUUCCCCCCAAAUCUCAAAAGCCUUACUUUAUCAUACUUUCGUCUACCAUGGGAGAAAAUGUCAUUCCUUGGAAGGUUACCUAACCUUGAGGUUCUCAAAUUAUCAUACAAGGCAUUCGAAGGACCAACAUGGGACACAAAUGAUGGGGAGUUUCGCAAACUAAGAUUCCUGAAAUUUCAAGGCGUGUUUAUUAAGCGAUGGAACACUUGUAAUGAUCACUUUGUCAACCUUCAAACGUUGGUGUUGAAUGACUGUCAGUGGCUUGAGGAGAUCCCAUCUAGUUUAGGGGAUAUACCUACUCUAGAGAUGAUUCAAGUGAGAUGGUGUAAACGCUCGGCUGAAGAUUCUGCCCGGCAAAUUCAAGAAGAACAAAAGAUGAUGGGAAAUGAUGGGCUUAAGAUCCUUAUCUACUCUUUAAAUCGGGAUUAGGUGGCCUUCGUGGAUGAGGAUGACUAGGUUGACGCACGUUAGAGUUCAUCAAAGCAUACAGCAUAAUUAGUCGCUUGAAUAAGACUCAAAUGGAGGGGAGUUUACAACGUAAAGAGUAUGAUGUUAAGGUGCGUCUUGUCGUCUUUCUCAGAUCUGAAUGAUGAUGAAUGUUCUUUUGAUAAGCAAACAUAACUGAUUUUUUUUUUUUCCUUCUUGUGUGUGUAUGUGUGUGUGUAAUAGCUUCUUUUGAGAAAUUUGAUGUGCUAAAUUGCCUCUUUUGAUUGAAGUUAAAUAUUUGUGUGUGUGUGUGUGUAUGUAAUGCUCUUAACUGAUGUGAUAGAGGUUUAAAAAUUGAAUUAGCAGAAUCCAUCUAACAUAUCAUUGGUAGGGGUAAAAUUUGACUGAAAAGACUCCAUUGAAAACAAAAACAGAGGAC